CAGCCGUAAACAAUGUGCGUUAGGUGUGUCGGUAACCACGCGUUACUGAUGCGCCGAAGAGAAAUCGUGAAACGCACCACCUGGGAAGUACGGUCGCAAGGCUGAAACUUAAAGGAAUUGGCGGGGGAGCACCACAACAGGUGGAGCCUGCGGUUUAAUUUGGACUCAACGCCGGGAAGCUCACCGGAUAGGACAGCAGAAUGAUUGCCGGGCUGAAGACCCUGCAUGACUAGCUGAGAGGAGGUGCAUGGCGUCAGUGACU
rnacentral:rRNA from 1 species